AUUGAACGCUGGCGGAAUGCUUUACACAUGCAAGUCGAACGGUAGAGGGGGCAACCCCUUGAGAGUGGCGAACGGGUGAGUAAUAUAUCGGAACGUGCCCAGUCGUGGGGAUAACGUAGCGAAAGUUACGCUAAUACCGCAUACGAUCUAAGGAUGAAAGCGGGGGAUCGCAAGACCUCGCGCGAUUGGAGCGGCCGAUAUCAGAUUAGGUAGUUGGUGAGGUAAAGGCUCACCAAGCCAACGACCUGUAGCUGGUCUGAGAGGACGACCAGCCACACUGGGACUGAGACACGGCCCAGACUCCUACGGGAGGCAGCAGUGGGGAAUUUUGGACAAUGGGCGCAAGCCUGAUCCAGCAAUGCCGCGUGCAGGAUGAAGGCCUCGGUUGUAACUAGCUUUGUUACGGAACGAAACGGUAGAGCUCUAAUACAG
rnacentral:rRNA from 1 species